ACUUUAUUUCCAAUAUGUCUAUUAUUUUUAAUUCAAACCUUCUAAUUCUCAGUAUUUCAGACUGAAAAAUAAUUUUUCAGCUAACACUGUGAACAAAAAUUUAAAUAAUCACAUUUCCCUAUUCCUACAUCAUUCCAAUCCUACCCACUCAUUCCUAUGGACUCAACAGUAACAUCCUAUUACUCUUUCCUAUAAGCCAUAGGACUUAGUACGCAUACCAGCACUAGUUACACAGAGCUAUCUUAUCAGUUUGGCUUUUGUUCACACACAGCAUGUAUUUAAACUCUAGUGCUUCUUAUAAAGAAGUACACACUACUUUAUAACAUGGACUCCUGCUCUACCCAUAACUUUAUUAGGCAGCAGUGUUAAGAUUUCUUCAAGCGUGGUAUCCUGAGUGAUUCUUCCAUAUUGCAGUAUCAUAGUUCAAUUACAUAAUAAAUAUCACAUAUAAAAAUUAAUAUAUGCUCAUAAGCACUGUCAAGAUAUAAUAAUAGUUCUUUCAUGAAUAUAUUACUGUAGAAUUUACAAGGUACCUCCCUUCAAUUACCUCAUUUAAACAUCUCAACAAGCUCAGACGAUGAUAUUGCUAUAAAUUUUUAUAUUUUUUCACAAAUGACACUGAAAUUUUUAAAAGUUAACUGACUUGCUUAUUUCAAAAUUCAUGCCCUAUGAUAUAAAUAUAUCUAUUCACUUCUGUGAAAUAUUGUAAAAUAGAGAGCUAUAAGGUGUUGAUUAGAGUGUUUUUUUACAACUGUUUCUAAUAAAGGAAUGGAUAAAUAUAUUUCUAGUCAAUGGAUUAUUUUUUUAGCAAGUAAUUAAAAAUUAAAUAGGUAAAAAAAUAUUUUUACACCUGUAUCAUACAUUGAACUAGACACACAAAGCAUUCUCUCUCAUGAAAAUUACAUUCAUAUGGGGAGAGUCAGAGAUAAAAUUAAACAUAUAAAUAAGCAAGAAAAUAUCAGAAUAUAUUAAGGUCUCUGCAAAAAGCGAAAAAAGAAAAUGUGGUCAUGUGAUGAUUUUGAAAUGGUAGUUAUAGAAGUAUAUGACACAAAAAUAUUAAUUGCAAUGGCUGCUGAGUGACAUGUCAAAGUGAUUAUGCUAAAAAUGUAAAUUGAAAUCCAUUACAGCAUUAAAUACAAAGUAUAAUGGCUAAAUAAAAUAUAAUGUACAAAAAAAGAAGACUGGAAAAAAUAUCAAUAUGUUUAUACUAUUCAUCCUAAGGCACUCUAAUUAGAGGAAUUUUUUUCUCCUCUUCUACACAAUGCUAUUGCUAUUGCUAAGUCACUUCAGUCAUGUCCGACUCUGUGUGACCCCAUAGACGGCAGCCCACCAGGCUUCCCCAUCCCUGGGAUUCUCCAGGCAAGAGUACUGGAGUGGGGUGCCAUUGCCUUCUCCGUCUACACAAUGAGAAUAAUUAUAAUUUUGAAAUAGCGUAAAAGUCAACCAGCUUGUAUAUGGAAGAAAAGUAUUCAAACUCAAAUCUUCUAGACCAGAAUCUAUUAUUAUUUAUGCCACACAAAGUUUCCUAUGAGGGAAUGAAAACUGGUAGAAAUGUGCUUAUUUCAUAUAAAAAUAGCAAUAAUAAUAUCAAUAAAACAGGUUGUCACAGAAUCAAAGGUAUGAGCAUAUGAAUGAAAUUAACAGACAGGCACCAUUUUUGCUUCAAAUCUGGCAAGUUUUUCAUUGUCUUAAAUUUGCUAGUCUUUCAACAUUUACCAAGUUUUUCAGUCAGAGCUUCAUUUCAUAAUUUUUUAAAAAUUUAAAAUGAGUAAAAUCUGGAAAGUGAGUGAAGUACAGCAAUAUUAUUGUACAGUCCUAUGACACAUAUACUGGUGAUGGUAUAGAACAAUAACUAUACUCUAUCAGGUUCCUUCAUGUGCUUCUAAUCCCAGAUACCUCUCUUCCCAUUAUAGACACCCUUCCCAGAAGAAGUCACUAUUUUUAAUUCAGUUGCAAUGUAUUAAUUUUGCCAGCUUUUUAAUUUCAUAAAAAAUAAUAUUAUGCAAUGUUAUUUUUUGUGCUGCUUCUUUCACUCAGUUAUAUUUUUAAUAUUCAAGUAUUUUAAUGAAGUAUUUUAUUUUCAUUACUAUUUAACAUUAUACAGUGUAUACCACAGCUUAUUUAUACAUUAUACUUUUAAUGGGCAAUUAGAUUAUUUCCAGUUUGGCCCUUCAAUGAAUAAAGUUGUUAAGAAGCUGUCAGUACUUGUUUUUAGUGGAUAUAUGUCCUCUCUUCUCUGGGAUUUAUAUGUACAUGGAAUAACAGACUUCUCAGGUGGCUCAGUCUGCCAAUGCAGGACACCUGAGUUUGAUCCCUGGGUAGGGAAGAUCACCUGGAGGAGGAAAUAGCAAGUCAUUCCAGUAUUCUUGCCUGGGAAAUCCCAUGGAGAGAGAAGACUGGCGGGCUACCGUCCAUGGGGUCAGAAAUAGUCCAACACGAUGUAGCAACU
ensembl:lncRNA